AUGGAGAGCAUUGCCCCGCUUUAUGCAGAAAACACAGGCAAACCUGAGGUCCCCAGAAUUGCGGACAUGAGUUUGGUGGCUGGAGAGCUUGUGGUGGAUGUGCUGCCUGAUUUUGAUGAAGGUUAUGAAGCCACUGGUGUGUGGGAGGUGGCUGCAGCACUGGCAGAGGAAACUUGAAGAUACCGACCUGCUAAGAACUACCUGAGCUACCUGACAGCUGGAAUUAUUCUGCCUUUGUAACUGACAUAAUGAGAAACGAAUUUGAAAGACUGGCUGCUUGACAAUCAGUUGAAUUGCUCAGUAUGAAAUGAUAUGAGCUUACAGCCCCUUCCUCUGGUUAAAAAAAAAAUGGCAUUACUACAUGGCAAGAAUGUGUAAACAAUUUUAUGGCCCAGCUAGAGCAUCAAGCAGUUGGAAUUGAGAAUCUGGAACUAAUGUCGCAGCAUGGAAGUACUGCCUGAAAAGUAUGCAAUGAAAAUCUAGUUCAUGUAAUUGAACACGUACAGAACAAACUUCGGAAGUUACGAAAACAUACUCAAGAUUUAAACUGGCAGAGAAAGAACAUGCAACUCACAGCUGGAUGUAAAUUGAGAGAAAUGGAGUCAAAUUGGGUAUCCCUGGUCAGUAAGAUUAUGAGAUUGAAUGGAUGAUUGUUCAGCUAGAAAAUGAAAUCUAUCAAAUCAAGCAGCAGCAUGGAGAGGCAAACCAAGAAAACAUCCGGCAAGGCUUCUGAAAAGUUAGUUUAGCAGGUAGAAGAAAAGUUGGGCUUUCACAAAAAGCAUCUGAACUUUUAACGAACUGUGAAGGACAACAGCAUCUUCCCCGAAACCAAUGAUGUUUCAGUGUUUAGAAAUCAUAGAAUGUGUGGACUGCUGUGGUAAUUUUAUUUGUAUAUCUCAACAAUUAAAUGUCUAGCUUGGUGAUAUUUUUAUAGCCAUUAAAAAAUCUUUAGGCUUUCAAAAUAAGUAUGACUUUAGAAUAAUAUUAUGUCACAGAGUUAAUUUUGAGCUAUGUGGGCCAUAUUUUAUAUCCAAGGAUCUUUAUUUAAAGUUCUCAACAUGUACAGGAAGUUGGAAACUUUUGGUUUAUGACUUUGUCUGAUAAAGAGAUAGUUC